rnacentral:lncRNA from 1 species
GUUCUUGUGGUGUAGACCAGCUUUCAAUUUAUUUUGAGCCCCAGAGCACUUUAGCCCACAGUGGUGAGGCUUGCAAAAACUCAAGUUCUGACUGCUGGCAUUGGCAGUUUCCCUCUGGCUAAGGGUGGUUGAAAUGCAUCCUCUGUGGUCUGGCGUCAGCUGAGUUUGGUCCAGUUUUUCUUUCUGCUAUAACAAGGGCAGCACUGAGUUCAAUGCCUCACAGUUGCUGGCUCUCCCUCUCCCCAGGGCACAGAAACGCUCUUCAGACCAUACUCCUACUGCCAGGGGAUGGAGAAGGCAUGGUGUCAGCAAUUCAAGACUGUUUUUCCUACCUCUUCAGUGUCUCUUUCGGCAAAAUGAAGUGAAAAUCAGACUUGUAACUGAAGAAGCCAUCAACCAAGAAAUUUCCAACAGACCCAGAUGGAAAAAGUCCCAGUGAAAGCCUGUUCUUUAGCCAAAGGGGCCAGAAAAGAGCAAGAUAGCAGGACAAGAUCUCUGCCAUCAUGUGAGAGAGAGCCUGAGUUAGCCUGCUGGAUGGUCAAAGAUGAGUGGUGCAGCUAAGUGAAAGCCUGCUGACUUGUAGACAUAUGAGUAAGGCCAUGCUUGAUCACCUGGCUGCCAGCUGGCCUGCCAACUAAUUGCAGGUACUUGAAAGAGUCCAGCAGAGAUCAGCCACCCCAGGUCAAAUAAACACCCAGCCCCCUCCCUGAG